rnacentral:rRNA from 1 species
GACUCUCGACAACGGAUAUCUCGGCUCUCGUAUCGAUGAAGAAUGUAGCAAAAUGUGAUACUUGGUGUGAAUUGCAGAAUCCCAUGAACCAUCGAGUCUUUGAACGCAAGUUGCGCCCUAAGCCAUUAGGUCGAGGGCACGUCUGCCUGGGUGUCA